rnacentral:lncRNA from 13 species
AGCUUCAAGUUCUGCAAUUUCUUUAACAAGCAAUUUGUCUCUCACAGAAACCCUCCAAGUGGAGUCGGAUGCUGUGGCUGCCGUCCAGGACCCUUUGAGAACAUCGUCACGCUUCAGUUUGCUUGCUGACGUUAGCAUUACUGCUGCCUUUACCCUGGGCUCCGACAGGUCAGUAUCUAAUCACCUGGUCUUCGCAGUCCCUGGCAAAGUGCCUGGCCCAUGAAGCACCCUGCUGCUGUCUCCUGAAGGAAUCAGAGUGGACCACUGAAUCCCAGAUGCUCUUCUUUCAAAUGAUGUAACCUUGGGAAAUUUACAUAAACUGUCUGUUAUGUAAUUUGGUUUUCCUCCUUAUAAAUUGGAGUAAUAACACCUACUUGUAAACGUUAUUGAGGUAAUGUAUAUUUAAAAGAAAAAAAUUGUAAAUGGAGGAACUGAAAAUGAGGCAGAGUUUGUGUUCCGUAAGUGGUGAGGAACAAGUCACAACAUACCGAUAAUAUCAAGAGCUAGAACUCCCUCAGUAGCUGCCCCUGCCAAGUGUUUUCUACCAUUAUCUCCUUCACUUCUUACAACACUUGGAGGAAGGGACUGUUGGACCCAUCAUAUCAUCAUGCAAAUUGCUAUACCCACCAUAUAGAUAACAAAACUGAGACUCAGGAAGUGACACACUGGUCCGGGGGGGCAGAGCUG